ensembl:lncRNA
CCCACCCCGUUCCCACUAGAUUUUAAAAACAACAGAAUACAGGAAACUGGAGAAUAGAAAGCCACAUUGACCAGUGAGUUGCCUCGUUGUGAAAAAGGGUCCUACUCAUGAUGACAAAGCAUAGGGCUAGUGAGGGGAAGCCGGUAGCGGGAGAUGCGUGCUCACUAGGAUUUGAAUCCAAAUCCACUGCUUCCCUCCACUUUCCCUGGUGGAUCCAGUAAGUCCAUUUGUCUUCAGAGUAAGUAAGUUGCUAUGGAGAAAAGAUCAGCUCAACGUCUCUGCACCUUGCCAGUCUUCUCUAGGCAAGAUUCCUUCAGCUGGAGGGAAAGGUCCCGACCGCAAACCAGAGCACGCAGCUCUUUUUGCAAUGGACGCUUUUAGGCAACUUACGGCUUUAGUUCUUCAAUAGACCUGGAGUUUUGGGGAGAAUUAUUUGGCUGUGAAAAGGUUUAAGAAGACCGCACCUUGAUGGAGAGUGAGAGAGAUAGACUCGUACUGUCGUUCCUGAAUAGGGGGGCGGGGGAAUGCGGGUCUGCUUUCCUUGUCGACUAAAACGAACAAAAGCCAAAGUCAAGCUAUGUUAGGGGUUUUUAAUUUUGUCUCAUUUUAUAGUGCUCAAGGGAGAACGUGUUAGCAUUUUAAAAAACCGGUACCUGUAAAUCCUGUCACUAACUUUAUGAAAAAAAAUCUCAAACCCAUUUUCUGGUGUCUGAAGCUGUGUGCAGCAAACAUCCACAAAUGUGUUUUCUUGACUGUGCUUCACUUCAGAAUGAAAAUCCACCUCGUGACUGAUACUGAUUUCCUUCGCAGACAUGCCCAGUAUUACCCAGAGCUGCACUAUCUGCCGGAAUAGCUGGCUCCAAUAUAAACCCUCACCAUCAACGUACUUUCCCAGGAAUGUUCCUCCAGGGACUAGAAGGUUGUAGCUUCCUCAAAACUCAGCCACUCUUUAUAGAAAAAAAAAAUGUUUUUAAGUGAUUUCUGUACCACGUCCUCAGUCACUUCCCUGUCUAAGAUAUAUAUUCCACCAAAACAAAAUAUAAAUUGAGUUUAUUUCACAUAGUAUUGCAACAGUUUAACUUAUAGGCUAUUUUCAUGUGGCUGAAUUUCUCUACAAUCUGUCUCUUACUAUUAGCCAGCAUGGCUACCAUGAUGUUAGCUCUAAGAAUUCAGAAAUCUAAGCCGGGAAGAGUUAGGUGGGAGAGCUAGGAGAGAAGAGGCCCGACUUUUUAAAGUGAAAGAAAAGAAGCAAUUAAGUAUCUUAACGAAGCUCAUUAUUUUUAAAUUUUGUAUGCUGACAACAGCAAUAAAAGGAAUAAAAUGAAGAAAACGAACAAAUCACUUGUCUGGAAAGGUUUCCUAGGGUGAUUUCCUGAGGGUGGAUGUUCCUCUCAAGCACUUCUAGGGGAAUGGCUAAGGUCAAAAGCACAAGUGACCACUCAUGCUGGCAAGGAUGUGGAGAAAGGGGACCACCCUUCUGUUGCUGGUGGGUGUGAAAACCUAAACAGUCAUUUUGGAAAUCAAUAUGGGAGUUUCUCAGAAAAUUGAGACUUCAUCUACCUCAAGACCCAGUAUACCAUUCUAAGGUAUCUAUCCAAAGGACAUUCUACCAUAUCACAAGGACAAUUGCUCACCUAUGUUCCUAGCAG